rnacentral:rRNA from 1 species
GACGUAGGGGACGAGCGUUGUCCGGAUUCAUUGGGCGUAAAGCGCGCGCAGGCGGUCGUGCAAGUCGCGUGUGAAAGCCCCCGGCUCAACUGGGGAGGGUCACGCGAUACUGCUCGACUCGAAGGCAGGAGAGGGAAGUGGAAUUCCCGGUGUAGUGGUGAAAUGCGUAGAUAUCGGGAGGAACACCAGUGGCGAAGGCGACUUCCUGGCCUGUUCUUGACGCUGAGGCGCGAAAGCUAGGGUAGCAAACGGG